rnacentral:rRNA from 1 species
GACGAACGCUGGCGGCGUGCCUAAUACAUGCAAGUCGAACGCAUUUUCUUUCACCGUAGCUUGCUACACCGAAAGAAAAUGAGUGGCGAACGGGUGAGUAACACGUGGGUAACCUGCCCAUCAGCGGGGGAUAACACUUGGAAACAGGUGCUAAUACCGCAUAAUUCCAUUUACUGCAUGGUAGAUGGAUGAAAGGCGCUUUUGCGUCACUGAUGGAUGGACCCGCGGUGCAUUAGCUAGUUGGUGGGGUAACGGCCUACCAAGGCUGCGAUGCAUAGCCGACCUGAGAGGGUGAUCGGCCACACUGGGACUGAGACACGGCCCAGACUCCUACGGGAGGCAGCAGUAGGGAAUCUUCGGCAAUGGACGCAAGUCUGACCGAGCAACGCCGCGUGAGUGAAGAAGGUUUUCGGAUCGUAAAACUCUGUUGUUAGAAAAGAACAAGGAUGAGAGUGGAAAGUUCAUCCCUUGACGGUAUCCAACCAGAAAGCCACGGCUAACUACGUG